GUGGUUAUUUUUGUCGAUGUGGGACUUUUGAGACAAGGUAGAAAACAACAGUAAAGUCAACGAAGCAGAGUUAAUGUCCAUGUUUGUUCAAGUAAGAAGUAUUUUCAAUUAUUAUUAGUGAGGUAAACUGAGGAACAUAGAAGAAGAUGAAGAAUAAUCAACCGUUAUGGAUUGGUUAUCUUCCAUUUUUUCAAUAAUAACUCUCUCCCACUCAGAGCUUCAACUACAACGCCGGUUCAGUAUGGAAGAAAGCCAAAUAAAGUGGAGAGGCUUGCAAGCUUGGAGC
rnacentral:lncRNA from 1 species